GACGAACGCUGGCGGCGUGCUUAACACAUGCAAGUCGAACGGUAAGGCUCCAGCUUGCUGGGGUACACGAGUGGCGAACGGGUGAGUAACACGUGGGUGACCUGCCCUGCACUUCGGGAUAAGCCUUGGAAACUGGGUCUAAUACCGGAUAGGACCGCACCGUGAGGGUGUGGUGGAAAGUUUUUUCGGUGUGGGAUGGGCCCGCGGCCUAUCAGCUUGUUGAUGGGGUAAUGGCCUACCAAGGCGGCGACGGGUAGCCGGCCUGAGAGGGUGGACGGCCACAUUGGGACUGAGACACGGCCCAGACUCCUACGGGAGGCAGCAGUGGGGAAUAUUGCACAAUGGGCGGAAGCCUGAUGCAGCGACGCCGCGUGGGGGAUGACGGCCUUCGGGUUGUAAACUCCUUUCACCAUCGACGAAGGGUUUCUGACGGUAGAUGGAGAAGAAGCACCGGCUAACUACGUG
rnacentral:rRNA from 1 species